UAUGGCUCCAUCAGAUUCAGAGCAUGAGACUCUGAAUCUCAGGAUUGUGGGUUUGAGCCCCACUUGGGGCAAAA